rnacentral:rRNA from 1 species
UCGGGAAUUUUGGGCAAUGGGCGAAAGCCUGACCCAGCAACGCCGCGUGAAGGAUGAAGUAUUUCGGUAUGUAAACUUCGAAAGAAUAGGAAGAAUAAAUGACGGUACUAUUUAUAAGGUCCGGCUAACUACGUGCCAGCAGCCGCGGUAAUACGUAGGGACCAAGCGUUGUUCGGAUUUACUGGGCGUAAAGGGCGCGUAGGCGGCAAUUCAAGUCAUCUGUGAAAUCUCCGGGCUUAACUCGGAACGGUCAGAUGAUACUGCUUUGCUAGAGUGCAGAAGGGGCAAUCGGAAUUCUUGGUGUAGCGGUGAAAUGCGUAGAUAUCAAGAGGAACACCUGAGGUGAAGACGGGUUGCUGGGCUGACACUGACGCUGAGGUGCGAAAGCGUGGGGAGCAAACAGGAUUAGAUACCCCAGUAGUCCUGAGCGGGCUGGCAAGGCGCAU